ACCUCAAAUCAGGUAGGACUACCCGCUGAACUUAAGCAUAUCAAUAAGCGGAGGAAAAGAAACUAACAAGGAUUCCCCUAGUAGCGGCGAGCGAAGCGGGAAGAGCUCAAAUUUGAAAGCUGGCGUCCUUCGGGCGUCCGCAUUGUAAUCUAUAGAGGCGUUUUCUGUGCUGGACCGUGUCCAAGUCCCUUGGAACAGGGUAUCAAAGAGGGUGACAAUCCCGUACUUGACACGACAACCAGUGCUCUGUGAUACGUCUUCUACGAGUCGAGUUGUUUGGGAAUGCAGCUCAAAAUGGGUGGUGAAUUCCAUCUAAAGCUAAAUAUUGGCGAGAGACCGAUAGCGAACAAGUACCGUGAGGGAAAGAUGAAAAGCACUUUGGAAAGAGAGUUAAACAGUAUGUGAAAUUGUUGAAAGGGAAACGAUGGAGGUCAGUCGUGUCUGUGGGAUUCAGCCGUCUCUGGCGGUGUACUUCCCACAGACGGGUCAACAUCAGUUUUGGUCGGCGGAUAAAGGCAGGAGGAAGGUGGCACCCCCGGGUGUGUUAUAGCCUCUUGUUGCAUACGCUGGCCGAGACUGAGGAAUGCAGCUCGCCUUUAUGGCCGGGGUCA
rnacentral:rRNA from 1 species